rnacentral:hammerhead_ribozyme from 1 species
AUCCAGCUGGUGAGUCUCAAAUAAGACGAAAUGCGCAUCCUGGAU